rnacentral:rRNA from 1 species
AUUAUUGGAGGUAGAGCACUGUUUGGACGAGGGGCCCCUCUCGGGUUACCGAAUUCAGACAAACUCCGAAUGCCAAUUAAUUUAACUUGGGAGUCAGAACAUGGGUGAUAAGGUCCGUGUUCGAAAGGGAAACAGCCCAGACCACCAGCUAAGGUCCCAAAAUAUAUGUUAAGUGGAAAAGGAUGUGGCGUUGCCCAGACAACUAGGAUGUUGGCUUAGAAGCAGCCAUCAUUUAAAGAGUGCGUAAUAGCUCACUAGUCGAGUGACACUGCGCCGAAAAUGUACCGGGGCUAAACAUAUUACCGAAGCUGUGGAUUGUCCUUUGGACAAUGGUAGGAGAGCGUUCUAAGGGCGUUGAAGCAUGAUCGUAAGGACAUGUGGAGCGCUUAGAAGUGAGAAUGCCGGUGUGAGUAGCGAAAGACGGGUGAGAAUCCCGUCCACCGAUUGACUAAGGUUUCCAGAGGAAGGCUCGUCCGCUCUGGGUUAGUCGGGUCCUAAGCUGAGGCCGACAGGCGUAGGCGAUGGAUAACAGGUUGAUAUUCCUGUACCACCUAUAAUCGUUUUAAUCGAUGGGGGGACGCAGUAGGAUAGGCGAAGCGUGCGAUUGGAUUGCACGUCUAAGCAGUAAGGCUGAGUAUUAGGCAAAUCCGGUACUCGUUAAGGCUGAGCUGUGAUGGGGAGAAGACAUUG